CCUACGGGUGGCAGCAGUAGGGAAUCUUCCACAAUGGGCGAAAGCCUGAUGCAGCAACGCCGCGUGGGUGAAGAAGGUCUUCGGAUCGUAAAACCCUGUUGUUAGAGAAGAAAGUGCGUGAGAGUAACUGUUCACGUUUCGACGGUAUCUAACCAGAAAGCCACGGCUAACUACGUGCCAGCAGCCGCGGUAAUACGUAGGUGGCAAGCGUUAUCCGGAUUUAUUGGGCGUAAAGGGAACGCAGGCGGUCUUUUAAGUCUGAUGUGAAAGCCUUGGGCUUAACCGGAGUAGUGCAUUGGAAACUGGGAGACUUGAGUGCAGAAGAGGAGAGUGGAACUCCAUGUGUAGCGGUGAAAUGCGUAGAUAUAUGGAAGAACACCAGUGGCGAAAGCGGCUCUCUGGUCUGUAACUGACGCUGAGGUUCGAAAGCGUGGGUAGCAAACAGGAUUAGAUACCCUGGUAGUC
rnacentral:rRNA from 1 species